rnacentral:tRNA from 1 species
ACCGCCAUAGCUCAUCGGCAGAGCAGUCGUUUCAUAAGCGAUUGGUAAGAGGUUCGAUUCCUCUUGGCGGCACCA